rnacentral:rRNA from 1 species
UACGGGGGGUGCGAGCGUUGUCCGGAAUCACUGGGCGUAAAGGGCGCGUAGGUGGUUUGAUAAGGGUGUGGUGAAAGUCCGGGGCUCAACCCCGGAUCUGCCGUGCCGACUGUCAAACUCGAGGGCUGUAGAGGCAGACGGAAUUCCGGGUGUAGCGGUGGAAUGCGUAGAGAUCCGGAAGAACACCGGUGGCGAAGGCGGCCUGCUGGGCAGUAGCUGACGCCGAGGCGCGACAGCGUGGGGAGCAAACAGG